CUGCAAGGAAUAUUGCCAAUUCAAAGGUCUUGUUCCCCAUAAAUUGGAAUUCACAUUUGGACUUGACCAAGUUAAGUACAGUUGGUCAAAUCCGAUGAGAGAAAGACCAGAACAACAAAAAGAACCCCAACAAUAUGAUUACUGAGUGCUCUAAAGUGUUCCUGUCCUUCUUACCGUGGAUUCUACUCACAGAAACUUCCCCUCUGUGUGGGGCUUUUCCUUGGAGGGUUCUUUGGCUGAUGAAUUUAGAGAAGUCCUGGGACUCAGACUGCCCCAGCACUGAUUGUUUCUACAGCAUCCUUCACGCACCUGCAAAUGCAGCCUGCACCAUUCAUGGCCAGUUCUGUUGUCCUCUGCUAUCCCUCUCUUUCACUAGUAGAAAUUUGUGUGUGGAUGAAUGUUAUGUUCUCUGGUUUACAAGGACAUUCGAAAUUGCUUUACUUUCCCUCCCCAUCUUUAUUCACAGUUGUUGAAAUGAUCCUGGUGUGGUCUGAGGUUUGUGUCAACCCUCAUGUGUUUUGAGAAAGGUAGGGCUACCCGGUCACCACGUAUUAUUGUAGAUAUUGUCUAUAGGCCACUGGCUCUGAUGUCCUGUAGAUAGUGAAGAUGGUUUUCCUAAUAUAAUGUGUGUGGGGGGGGGCAGGGGGUGGAUCAGGAAUGAUUUUAAAACUACGCUGUUGCUGCUGCUGCCUUGUCCAUCACCUCACCUAUUCAUUUUUUACUAAUUUUUUACGGAUGUUUUCCUUGCCUUUAUUUCCUUAAGGAUUAUUAAACUCAUUUGUUUAGGGUACUUUUUGGGGUUUUGUGUCAUUAUUUCUAGUGUGAUUUCUCC
rnacentral:lncRNA from 10 species